AAACAUGCAAGUCGAGCGGUAGCACAGAGAGCUUGCUCUCGGGUGACGAGCGGCGGACGGGUGAGUAAUGUCUGGGAAACUGCCUGAUGGAGGGGGAUAACUACUGGAAACGGUAGCUAAUACCGCAUAAUGUCGCAAGACCAAAGUGGGGGACCUUCGGGCCUCAUGCCAUCAGAUGUGCCCAGAUGGGAUUAGCUAGUAGGUGGGGUAACGGCUCACCUAGGCGACGAUCCCUAGCUGGUCUGAGAGGAUGACCAGCCACACUGGAACUGAGACACGGUCCAGACUCCUACGGGAGGCAGCAGUGGGGAAUAUUGCACAAUGGGCGCAAGCCUGAUGCAGCCAUGCCGCGUGUGUGAAGAAGGCCUUCGGGUUGUAAAGCACUUUCAGCGGGGAGGAAGGCGUUGAGGUUAAUAACCUUGUCGAUUGACGUUACCCGCAGAAGAAGCACCGGCUAACUCCGUGCCAGCAGCCGCGGUAAUACGGAGGGUGCAAGCGUUAAUCGGAAUUACUGGGCGUAAAGCGCACGCAGGCGGUCUGUCAAGUCGGAUGUGAAAUCCCCGGGCUCAACCUGGGAACUGCAUUCGAAACUGGCAGGCUAGAGUCUUGUAGAGGGGGGUAGAAUUCCAGGUGUAGCGGUGAAAUGCGUAGAGAUCUGGAGGAAUACCGGUGGCGAAGGCGGCCCCCUGGACAAAGACUGACGCUCAGGUGCGAAAGCGUGGGGAGCAAACAGGAUUAGAUACCCUGGUAGUCCACGCCGUAAACGAUGUCGAUUUGGAGGUUGUGCCCUUGAGGCGUGGCUUCCGGAGCUAACGCGUUAAAUCGACCGCCUGGGGAGUACGGCCGCAAGGUUAAAACUCAAAUGAAUUGACGGGGGCCCGCACAAGCGGUGGAGCAUGUGGUUUAAUUCGAUGCAACGCGAAGAACCUUACCUGGUCUUGACAUCCACAGAACUUUCCAGAGAUGGAUUGGUGCCUUCGGGAACUGUGAGACAGGUGCUGCAUGGCUGUCGUCAGCUCGUGUUGUGAAAUGUUGGGUUAAGUCCCGCAACGAGCGCAACCCUUAUCCUUUGUUGCCAGCGGUUAGGCCGGGAACUCAAAGGAGACUGCCAGUGAUAAACUGGAGGAAGGUGGGGAUGACGUCAAGUCAUCAUGGCCCUUACGACCAGGGCUACACACGUGCUACAAUGGCAUAUACAAAGAGAAGCGACCUCGCGAGAGCAAGCGGACCUCAUAAAGUAUGUCGUAGUCCGGAUUGGAGUCUGCAACUCGACUCCAUGAAGUCGGAAUCGCUAGUAAUCGUAGAUCAGAAUGCUACGGUGAAUACGUUCCCGGGCCUUGUACACACCGCCCGUCACACCAUGGGAGUGGGUUGCAAAAGAAGUAGGUAGCUUAACCUUCGGGAGGGCGCUACCACUAGAUCGGG
rnacentral:rRNA from 1 species